UCUGCAGAACAUGAACCACACUAGACAGAUGGGGGACCUGUACGGAGGUCGGUUCCCUGUCCUAACUACCUCAGAGGACUCCCUUUACCUGAAUAUCUACACACCAGUCAAACCUGGGGACCCAAGGAAACUACCAGACUGUUCCACAAGGCCAUCAGAGUGGAGAAUCCCUCGUCUCUAUGUUCAUCCAGGAUGACCCCAAACCUGCUGCACAGCUGGGGGCACAGAGAGCAGGCUGUCUCAGUGAUGACUCUGCAGAGCUCAUGACCUGCCUCAGUGCCAACAGCCCACAGGACAAAGAGGUGGCU